rnacentral:sRNA from 2 species
CUGGUAGAAUGCAAUUGAAACCACGUCAAACAGGAGGACGAUUUGACGUAUUUAUUUGUCUUGUUGCAUCUUGAUGCCCCUACACUUCUGAUGAUCAUGGGCCGUGGAGAUCAGAGUAGAAGGCAUGGCGGGCAAUGCUAGUUUAAACUGGUCUUGUUGCAGCUUUCACCUCUAGCUCUAUUAAGACCAGAGGUCCUGCUCUUUGUAACAUACUAGUAAUCAACUGCGUUUCUAUUUUCAUUGAAGGAUUGUAAAACUCCUUCAUCGGCAAUAUAAAGGUUCUAGUACUCAUGAGUAUCUUCUUGAAGAAUCUGUAGUAGUAGUAUAAAUGGAUGGCUUAUGUGGGU